rnacentral:misc_RNA from 1 species
GCACCACUCGCCUGAACAACACUAGUACUGGAGUAUGACUUAGGGGAAACCCGCCUUGAAUUUAGAGAAAAUGCAACGAAAUAUGGGGAAAUUGAGAGAGACGAAGAGAGCGAAGAAGAAGGGAAUUUAAGUGAAAUUCGGGAAACAGGGGAGAUUGAUGGAGUUGAAGAAGAAUUGAAAGAUGAAGAAGAAGAAUGUAGAAGAGAGGAUGAAGAAGCAAGAGUAGCCAUUGAUAGAGAGUUGAUGGAAAUUUUCGGGUUGAUUUUACGAGAGCCAGAAAAUU